rnacentral:rRNA from 1 species
AGAGUUUGAUUAUGGCUCAGGAUGAACGCUAGCUACAGGCUUAACACAUGCAAGUCGAGGGUAGCAGGGUAGCAAUACCGCCGACGACCGGCGCACGGGUGAGUAACACGUAUCCAACCUUCCCAUAACUCAGGGAUAGCCUUUCGAAAGAAAGAUUAAUACCUGAUAGUACUUUUUCAAGGCAUCUUGAGAAGUUAAAGAUUUAUUGGUUAUGGAUGGGGAUGCGUUCCAUUAGAUAGUUGGUGAGGUAACGGCUCACCAAGUCUUCGAUGGAUAGGGGUUCUGAGAGGAAGGUCCCCCACAUUGGUACUGAGACACGGACCAAACUCCUACGGGAGGCAGCAGUGAGGAAUAUUGGUCAAUGGGCGAGAGCCUGAACCAGCCAAGUAGCGUGAAGGAUGAAAGGUCCUAUGGAUUGUAAACUUCUUUUAUAGUAGAAUAAAGUGAUCCACGUGUGGAUUUUUGUAUGUAUACUAUGAAUAAGGAUCGGCUAACUCCGUGCCAGCAGCUGC